rnacentral:rRNA from 1 species
UACGAAGGGGGCUAGCGUUGUUCGGAAUCACUGGGCGUAAAGGGCGCGUAGGCGGCUUUGUAAGUCGGGGGUGAAAGCCUGUGGCUCAACCACAGAAUUGCCUUCGAUACUGCAUGGCUUGAGACCGGAAGAGGUAAGUGGAACUGCGAGUGUAGAGGUGAAAUUCGUAGAUAUUCGCAAGAACACCAGUGGCGGAAGGCGGACUUACUGGUCCGGUUCUGGACGCUGAGGCGCGAAAGCGUGGGGAGCAAACAGG